CCUACGGGGGGCAGCAGUGGGGAAUAUUGCACAAUGGGGGAAACCCUGAUGCAGCAACGCCGCGUGAAGGAAGACGGUUUUCGGAUGGGAAACUUCUGUUCUUAGGGAAGAAGAAUGACGGUAGCGAAGGAGCAAGCCACGGCUAACUACGUGCCAGCAGCCGCGGUAAUACGGAGGGGGCAAGCGUUGUCCGGAAUUACUGGGUGUAAAGGGAGCGCAGGCGGGAAGCCAAGUCAGCUGUGAAAACUACGGGCUUAACUUGUAGACUGCAGUUGAAACUGGUUUUCUUGAGGGCAGUAGCGGUUGGCGGACUUCCGAGUGUCGCGGUGACAUGCGUAGAUCUUCGGAG
rnacentral:rRNA from 1 species